rnacentral:lncRNA from 1 species
ACGAGUGAAAAAUGUAACACUUAUCGAUUGCCCCAUCAUAAAAUGAAAAUGCAACACUUAUCAAUUGCCCUAUUACAUGUGAAAAAUGUAAUUGUGGUUAGUCUAAAGCCGGAAAUAAAAAGAAUUGAUGUGUGAAUGUGAAUUUGAUUAAUUGAACAAGAACUUUGGGAUGAUCCCGUUAUUAUCGAUUGUCCCAUCACGGGCUGAAAAUAUGACACUAUCAAUUGCUCGUCAUGGGCGGAAAACGUGACAUUUAUUGAUUGCUCCGUCAUGGACAGAAAAUAUGAUCAAAAUUUGGCCCAAAGUCGAAAAGAUAA